UUUAAGAAGGGGAACCGGCAGUGAGUAGGCGGAUUGGAAUGUGAGAGGAACCCCUAUGCAGAUACUGAGGUCAGUGAAGAAUGAGGGUGAGGAGGUGCGCCUGAGGAGGUUGAUGCCCCUGCAGCCUGUGGUGAGACGGCAGGCUGUCCCCCUGCAGCCCAUGGAGGUGAGCAGGGGAGCAAAUGCCCACCUACAGCCCAUGGAGAACCUCACACUGGAACAGGGGGAUGCCCCCAACGAUGGCCGUGACUCCAUGGGAAAGCCCGUGCUGGAGCAGUCUGUUGACUGAAGUCCAUGGAAAGGACCCAUGCCAGAGAA